CUGGGCGUGCUCUUAUUGGCUCCACCUCGCUCAGGUAUUCGCUAAAAAAGAGCGAAUUCCUGAGCGACUUAACACUAAUGGUGUAUGUAUGAGCACCUACUCCGUAAAAGUAAUUGUAAUCUCAUGAAUAGCUCCGUAAAGCUAGCUAGCUACUACUAUGGCAAUUUCAACGUCUUUUGAUAUCCAAGAAGCAUUAGCGUAUGCACUGUCUUGUGUGAAGCAAGAAGGACUGAUCCUCAAGGAACAGCAGGUCCGUGCUCUCAAGCUCCUGUCAGAAGGAAGGGACGUUUUUGUGUGGUUCCCAACUGGGUAUGGCAAGUCUCUGUGCUAUCAAUUGCUACCCUUCUUGAUGGACUACAAGCUUGGUAGGACUAAGGGUCCUCUUGUCGCCAGAAGUGUAGUUCUUGUCAUCUCUCCCCUUGUGUCUCUCAUGAUUGACCAGGAGUCUGAACACUAGAGGUGUUUCUGCUGCCAUCCUCAGUAGUAAUAAGGGAAUCGACAGAAGUCUUGUUGCCACUAACAAAGAUGUGUCGGAUGGAAAGUACCGUCUGCUGUUCACUGCCCCAGAGGCUGUUGUUGAAGACUAUCGUUGGAGGAUGCUAUUACUAGAGCCUCCACUCAAUUCCUCUUUAGUGGCAAUAGCUGUGGACGAAGCACACUGUGUUUACAAGUGGAGCUCUGACUUUCGUCCUGCCUAUGCACACCUAGGUGAGCUUAGAGCAUUUGCCCCUCCUGGUGCUCCAAUGUUGGCUGCAAACUGGAUAGUUUCUGACCUACCCUCUAGCUCCACAGCGAUUGCAGAUGAUGUCGAGGCACUGGCAUUAUGUGGACCAUCAAUGAGUAAAAGCAAGCCUUUUUCCUCGAACCCCGAUGGUACUCCUCUUUGCUGAUGGACGUGAGCUCACAGUGAAAGGAGAUGCGUCGGAACCACUCGUGUCCUUAGUCCUUUUCUUAGGGGCUGAUCUUACUGGACUACUAGGGAGCUGCUCUUUGGACACUUGUUUCUGGUAGCUACGUCUGGCCAGGAGCCUGAACACCUCUAUGGACUCUAUCUUCUUGAUACAAGAAAGACAGACAAUCUUUGACAGGCCAUCUGAAUCACUAACAGGCAGAUCCAAUGCAAGACUGAGCCUCCCUGGAAUAUCUUCUUUGAGAGCCUUACUGCUGAACAAAUGUUUAUAUCUUCUGUUUUGUAUGGCAUCAGUGCUGCAACAUAACCUACAAAGAACAAACUUAGAAGCCAUCAUUAAUUUUAUUCAAUUUUCAUUUGACCACAUGGACUAACUAGUGUUCAAGCUGGCGCUGUGCUAAUGCCUCUCGCCAUGUUUUUGCUUUCGCUCAAAAGUAUUAGAGUGUUAUCUAUAAUGAAUUUUAUAUUAAAGUUAGCUUAUCUAUAUAAAGUCACUGAGAAGAAAAGACUUAUUUACAUGCAUCUAUUGUAAGUUAUUAUUUUUUGUAUUAUGUGGCUUACCAGGACAUCAAGAAAGAAGAAAAUUGAUUCUUCCAGGAUCUGUAGUUCAGUGUAUAUAAUAUCUAAGAAGAAAAGACCUGUGUACAUGCAUAUUGUUAUCUAUAUUGUUAUAUGGUAGUGUUUUGUGGCUUACCAGGCCCUCAAGACAAAGAUGAUUCUGCCAGGAGGAUCUGGAUCUGGAUCUUGGAUAUUAUUUUCUCACACAUGGGGAAUGAGCGCGCAUGCGCAUUACAUCCACAGGAAUAAUUAAAGGGUGUGUCCAAAGAGAUCAAUUUUACAAAUGGCUACUGUACUGCUAGCUAGCUGUUUUAACAGAUAUUUUCUGAGUAUUGUAGCUAACAAAAAGCUAGCGCUUUAGUGCAAGGCUAACUCAUAUGUUGAAUAGAAAGUUUGUGCGGACAGAUGAUGC